rnacentral:rRNA from 1 species
GAUGAACGCUGGCGGCGUGCUUAACACAUGCAAGUCGAACGGUGAACGAGGGAGCUUGCUCCCUCCGGAUCAGUGGCGAACGGGUGAGUAACACGUGAGUAAUCUGCCCUUGGCUUCGGGAUAACCACCGGAAACGGUGGCUAAUACCGGAUACGACCAGCCCCGGCAUCGGGUGUGGGUGGAAAGUUUUUUCGGCCAGGGAUGUGCUCGCGGCCUAUCAGCUUGUUGGUGGGGUAAUGGCCUACCAAGGCUUCGACGGGUAGCCGGCCUGAGAGGGUGACCGGCCACACUGGGACUGAGACACGGCCCAGACUCCUACGGGAGGCAGCAGUGGGGAAUAUUGGACAAUGGGCGAAAGCCUGAUCCAGCAACGCCGCGUGAGGGAUGACGGCCUUCGGGUUGUAAACCUCUUUCAGUACCGACGAAGCGCCGAUGAUGGUGGUGACGGUAGGUACGGAAGAAGCACCGGCCAACUACGUGCCAGCCGCCGCAGUAACAC